CGCAUCUGUGCAUGCAGCAUAUAAUAAGCGGAGGAAAAGAAACUAACAAGGAUUCCCCUAGUAACGGCGAGUGAAGCGGGAAGAGCUCAAAUCUGAAAUCUUAAAGGGUUUCCCUUUACGAAUUGUAGUUUAAAGAAGUGUUUUCUGUUGAGGUUUUGGUAAAAGUUCUUUGGAAUAGGACAUCAUAGAGGGUGAGAAUCCCGUAUUUGACCUUUACUUUCAACUUUGUGAUACACUUUCAAAGAGUCGGAUUGUUUGGGAAUGCAGUCCAAAAUGGGUGGUAAAUUUCAUCUAAAGCUAAAUAUUGGCGAGAGACCGAUAGGCGAACAAGUACCGUGAGGGAAAGAUGAAAAGAACUUUGAAAAGAGAGUUAAACAGUACGUGAAAUUGUCAAAAGGGAAGCGUUUGACACCAGUGUUGUUUUUCUGAAAAUCAAUUAAAGAACUGUUUAUGCUAAGCUGUUUAGACUUUAUCAGCUAACUGUUUAGUUUUGAGCUUUUCUUUAAUGCACUUUUCAGUUAACAAGUCAACAUCAAUUUCUUUUGCUGUAAAAAAGCUUGAGGAAGGUGGCUUGAGAUUCGUCUUAAGUGUUUAUAGCCUCUUGCCUAUGCAGUCGGAGAGAUUGAGGUCUGCAGCGUAGAUCCUUCGGGGCUAAAUGCAUUUGUGCUAAGUUAUAGCAUUUUAUAGACAACUUGUUGACUAUGAUUUGUCUUGUAGCUUACUCGCUUAUGUUAUUUUACCUACGCUUAGGAUGUUGAACGCGCACAGAGUCUC
rnacentral:rRNA from 1 species